rnacentral:lncRNA from 13 species
AUGCUUUUUCUGUUCCUCAACAGACAUUCAUCAAUGGGUUUAAAUCAGUCAGUUAUGUCUGGAUUGGUCUGACUGACUCUGUUACUGAGGGGACCUGGAAAUGGGUGGACGGCACCCCACUGACCACAGCAAGGUAUUGGUGGAGUGGAGAGCCUGGUGGUGGAGAAACCAACUUCUUCAUUAGAUAAGGAGGUAAUUCCCUCUUGGGCCGAGAGCUGACACUGAUUGUUGAAGUCGCAGGUUGGGCUGCCGCAUCACGUGACCAGGAGCAACAUGACUGACUACUGUCUGCAGCACAAGCUGACACACAAUCAUGUAUUCAUACUGUGUGUCAAAAAGUGUGAAUAAAUAGGGGCAUAACAUCUGUAAUCUAGAAGGACAAGACAUCUCUCUGCCUCUUUAGGACAGAGUGAAUGUUACAGUGUACAUUUUAAAGGUCUACUCCUAAACUUGAAGAAAGAAGAACUGGUGUCAAUAAGACAUUGUGCCUUUUAAGACAGAGUGAAUGUUACUGUUUACAUUUUAACUCAUAUCUUGUUCACUUCCUGUUUGUGGAGGCAAUACCAGAAUGAAGGGUUGGAUCAUAAAUAACCAUCAGUUAUCAAAACAGUGUCUAAGGUUUUGCAACAAACAGGUCACGACCCCUGGUGACCUUUAAUACAGGUAGUGAUUAGAUUCAACUGUUUUGAAAAGCAGAUAUUAUUUAGCAAGUGAAUGUAGUUGUUUAAUGGUUGUAUUAUAUUUCAGAGGGAGAGAUAGAAUCCCAAAUGAUACCCUAUCCCCUUUGUAUUGCAGUCCUUU